rnacentral:ncRNA from 2 species
AGAGGGAACCCGGUGCAAGUCCGGGACCGCCUCGCAGCGGUGAGUGGGAACGACCGCCGUCAUGACGCACGGGGCACGCCUGUGGCCUGGAAAGCGACGGCCAGGAGGAGUCCCGUUCUUCGGGGCGUGCCCACGAGUCCGAAGACCU